UACGGGGGGAGCAAGCGUUGUUCGGAUUUACUGGGCGUAAAGGGCGUGUAGGCGGUUUGUUAAGUCAUGUGUGAAAGCCCCCGGCUCAACCGGGGAACGACGCAUGAAACUGGCAAGCUAGAGUACCGAAGAGGGGGGUGGAAUUCCCGGUGUGAGCGGUGAAAUGCGUAGAUAUCGGGAGGAACACCUGUGGCGAAGGCGGCCCCCUGGUCGGAUACUGACGCUGGAGCACGCGAAAGCGUGGGGAGCAAACAGG
rnacentral:rRNA from 1 species